rnacentral:sRNA from 1 species
AAUACCCUAAUUGUAAAAAAACGUAGACAUUUUGCGAAAAAAUAUCUAAAAUUAUAAAUGUACCAAAUAAUUAAUGCUCUGUAAUCAUUUAAAGGUAUUUUGAACGGACCU